rnacentral:ncRNA from 1 species
GUAAAAGCAGUUAUAAAGGACAACACAAUUUUUACAAAAACUUAACAGAGAAUCAAACAUAAUGGUGAGAGUUUGAAAGCACUUGGUAAUUAUUGUUAUCACCUUUUAGCUAUUUCUUUGAAACAAUAGUAAAAGAAAUCGUAUUCCUGCGUUAAAGGGUAAUAAGAGAAAAGAAAAUAAUUCUUUUAAAUUAGGUGGUACCGCGGAAAUUUUAAGCCAUUUCGUCCUAUUU